rnacentral:rRNA from 1 species
AGCGAACGCUGGCGGCAGGCCUAACACAUGCAAGUCGAACGAACUCUUCGGAGUUAGUGGCGGACGGGUGAGUAACACGUGGGAACGUGCCUUUAGGUUCGGAAUAACUCAGGGAAACUUGUGCUAAUACCGAAUGUGCCCUUCGGGGGAAAGAUUUAUCGCCUUUGAGCGGCCCGCGUCUGAUUAGCUAGUUGGUGAGGUAAAGGCUCACCAAGGCGACGAUCAGUAGCUGGUCUGAGAGGAUGAUCAGCCACAUUGGGACUGAGACACGGCCCAAACUCCUACGGGAGGCAGCAGUGGGGAAUCUUGCGCAAUGGGCGAAAGCCUGACGCAGCCAUGCCGCGUGAAUGAUGAAGGUCUUAGGAUUGUAAAAUUCUUUCACCGGGGACGAUAAUGACGGUACCCGGAGAAGAAGCCCCGGCUAACUUCGUG